rnacentral:rRNA from 1 species
GACGAACGCUGGCGGCGUGCUUAACACAUGCGAGUCGAACGGAAAGGCCCUGCUUUUGUGGGGUGCUCGAGUGGCGAACGGGUGAGUAACACGUGAGUAACCUGCCCUUGACUUUGGGAUAACUUCAGGAAACUGGGGCUAAUACCGGAUAGGAGCUCCUGCUGCAUGGUGGGGGUUGGAAAGUUUCGGCGGUUGGGGAUGGACUCGCGGCUUAUCAGCUUGUUGGUGGGGUAGUGGCUUACCAAGGCUUUGACGGGUAGCCGGCCUGAGAGGGUGACCGGCCACAUUGGGACUGAGAGACGGCCCAGACUCCUACGGGAGGCAGCAGUGGGGAAUAUUGCACAAUGGGCGGAAGCCUGAUGCAGCAACGCCGCGUGCGGGAUGACGGCCUUCGGGUUGUAAACCGCUUUCGCCUGUGACGAAGCGUGAGGGACGGUAAUGGGUAAAGAAGCACCGGCUAACUACGU